UGUUACAUUUGGUUUCCAAAUACUGAACCACCUUGAAUUCUGGGGGUGAAUCCUCUUGGUUCCCUAGGGCUUCUCUUUCAGUAUUGACUUUGACUCUGAAACAUUCGUGAUGGGAUGGGUUUGGGGAAUAAGAUUUAUAGAUUGAUUUAUGUAUUUGGCCUGGUCCCCAGAUUUUAACAAAAGUAUCAGGAAAAGGGGAAGAAAAGAUGGAAAAUGAGAAGAAUGGUUAGAAUUUUGGCUUGUUGGAUCAGUUCCCAGAACAUCCUUUGUGUUAGAGAAAUCAAGUAAUGGGAGAAGUGGAAAGAAAACAAAAAAGUUAGUGAAGCUAAACCAAUCUACAUAGUGAAGACAGAAGGGGGUGAAGGACUGAAAAAGAUAGGUGAAUAUUUGGGGCAGACUUUGAGGCAUCUGGGAAGUGGGAGCUUUGGAGGGCUCUGGGAGAUUUGGGGAAAAGAA
rnacentral:lncRNA from 10 species